rnacentral:rRNA from 1 species
UACGGAGGGGGCUAGCGUUGUUCGGAAUUACUGGGCGUAAAGCGCGCGUAGGCGGCUUUGUAAGCUAGAGGUGAAAGCCCGGAGCUCAACUCCGGAACUGCCUUUAAGACUGCAUCGCUAGAACGUCGGAGAGGUAAGUGGAAUUCCGAGUGUAGAGGUGAAAUUCGUAGAUAUUCGGAAGAACACCAGUGGCGAAGGCGACUUACUGGACGACUGUUGACGCUGAGGUGCGAAAGCGUGGGGAGCAAACAGG